rnacentral:rRNA from 1 species
GACGAACGCUGGCGGCGUGCUUAACACAUGCAAGUCGAACGAUGAUGCUGGAGCUUGCUCCAGUUGAUUAGUGGCGAACGGGUGAGUAACACGUGAGCAAUCUGCCCUUGACUCUGGGAUAACUGCGGGAAACUGUAGCUAAUACCGGAUACUUUCACCGGAAGGCAUCUUCUGGUGAUGAAAGAAUUUCGGUCAGGGAUGAGCUCGCGGCCUAUCAGCUUAUUGGUGAGGUAACGGCUCACCAAGGCGACGACGGGUAGCCGGCCUGAGAGGGUGAUCGGCCACACUGGGACUGAGACACGGCCCAGACUCCUACGGGAGGCAGCAGUGGGGAAUAUUGCACAAUGGGCGCAAGCCUGAUGCAGCAACGCCGCGUGAGGGACGACGGCCUUCGGGUUGUAAACCUCUUUUAGUAGGGAAGAAGCGAAAGUGACGGUACCUGCAGAAAAAGCACCGGCUAACUACGUGCCAGCCGCCGCAGUAA